rnacentral:lncRNA from 1 species
UGGCGCCUGAGCUCUAACUUUCAGAUGUCAUCACAAAAUACAUUUGGCAAAAUUCAAGAAAUAUUUUCCAGUGUCCGCAAGGUAUCAGAAGUGGCCAAUUUUCUGCUGGCUUGCAGUUAUCGUUGCUAUACUCCCCCAUAUAUAUGCUCAAGGAUCUCCAUUGGAUCGAAGUCAUGUGCGUCUUUUUCUACAUCAUCGUCUCCUUUCUCCUACUUCUCUGCAUCACCAUGCUGGUGGUGCUGGUGCAUUGGAAUACAAUGUAGCCUCUGG